CGAAGUAUAGCCUAUUUAAGGCCUUCCGCUUACACCGGAAAAAAGUCUGUUUAACCCAGGCUACCUCGA
rnacentral:tRNA from 1 species